UUUGGAUCAAAGUUGAAGAAAGUCUGAUACCUUCUAACCAUUUUGAUUUUGUGUCUUUCAAGGAUGUCUUGGACUCGGACAGAGAGGAUAAGUACUUAGAUGUUAUUGGACACGUUGUGGAAAGGGAUGAAAUACAAGACAAAGAAAUCAAUGGAUCUAAGAGCAAGCUGCUUUACAUUACAUUGGAAAAUUCUGAGUGAGUGCUUUUGGACCUAA
rnacentral:lncRNA from 1 species